AGACUGAAACUCAAAGGAAUUGACGGGGACCCGCACAAGCAGUGGAGUAUGUGGUUUAAUUCGAAGCAACGCGAAGAACCUUACCAGGUCUUGACAUCCAACUAACGAAGCAGAGAUGCAUCAGGUGCCCUUCGGGGAAAGUUGAGACAGGUGGUGCAUGGUUGUCGUCAGCUCGUGUCGUGAGAUGUUGGGUUAAGUCCCGCAACGAGCGCAACCCUUGACUUUAGUUGCCAGCAGGUAAGG
rnacentral:rRNA from 1 species